rnacentral:rRNA from 1 species
CACGGGGGGAGCAAGCGUUGUUCGGAAUCACUGGGCGUAAAGGGCGUGUAGGCGGUCAGGUAAGUGGAAUGUGAAAGCCCUCGGCUCACCCGAGGAUCGGCAUCCCAAACUGCCUGGCUUGAGUAUGGGAGAGGACAGGGGAAUUCCUGGUGUAGCGGUGAAAUGCGUAGAUAUCAGGAGGAACACCGGUGGCGAAAGCGCUCUGCUAGGCCGCAACUGACACUGAGGGACGAAAGCUAGGGGAGCGAAUGGG